rnacentral:rRNA from 1 species
AUUGAACGCUGGCGGCAUGCCUUACACAUGCAAGUCGAACGGUAACAGGUCUUCGGAUGCUGACGAGUGGCGAACGGGUGAGUAAUACAUCGGAACGUGCCUAGUAGUGGGGGAUAACUACCCGAAAGAGUGGCUAAUACCGCAUGAGAUCUACGGAUGAAAGCAGGGGAUCGCAAGACUUGGUGCUACUAGAGCGGCGGAUGGCGGAUUAGGUAGUUGGUGGGAUAAAAGCUUACCAAGCCGACGAUCUGUAGCUGGUGUGAGAGGAGGAGCAGCCACACUGGGACUGAGACACGGCCCAGACUCCUACGGGAGGCAGCAGUGGGGAAUUUUGGACAAUGGGCGCAAGCCUGAUCCAGCAAUGCCGCGUGCAGGAUGAAGGCCUUCGGGUUGUAAACUGCUUUUGUACGGAACGAAAAGCCCUGGGUUAAUACCCUGGGGUCAUGACGGUACCGUAAGAAUAAGCACCGGCUAACUACGUGCCAGCCGCCGCUGUAAGAC